UACGGAGGGUGCGAGCGUUGUCCGGAAUCACUGGGCGUAAAGGGCGCGUAGGCGGCGCGGAUAGUCGGCGGUGAAAGCCCGGAGCUCAACUCCGGGUCGGCCGUCGAUACUUCCGGGCUUGAGCACUGUAGAGGCAGAUGGAAUUCCGGGUGUAGCGGUGGAAUGCGUAGGAGAUCCGGAAGAACACCGGUGGCGAAAGGCGGUCGUG
rnacentral:rRNA from 1 species